GCCGGUGUGGCGGAAUUAGGCAGACGCGUUGGUCUUAGGAACCAAUGUCCCCCGUGGCGUGCAGGUUCGAGUCCUGUCACCGGUAC
rnacentral:tRNA from 3 species